AGCGAAUCAGAGACGCCCCCGUGCGGACAGCCCUCCUCCUCCUCCUCCUCCUCCUUCCUCGAGCAGGAAGGCUUUACGCAACUCCAUUCCAUUCCAGGGAACUGAGAGCUGAUCACAGUAUACACUGACUGAAGACCAGCAAGUCGGACGUUCGAAUCCAGAAAGAGCGUAGAUGAGCUCCUUCUGUCUGCUCCAGCUCCCCAUGUGAGACAUGAGAGAAGCCUCCCACAAGGAUGGUAAAACAUCAAAACAUCUGGGCAUCCCCUGGGUAGCGUCCUUGCAGAUAGCCAAUUUUCUCUCACCAGAAGUGACUUGCAGUUUCUCAAAUCGCUCCUGACAUGAAAAAGAAAGGGCAAAUUAAUCUUGGAUGGGAGACAUUUCCAGCCUCAUGGAGAAGACAAUGGUGGUGUGUUUGCUGUAGAUGCAUCCAUUCAAUGGUUGCUUGAAACCAUCUAUAAUUAAACAUGAAAAAGGGGAUGACAUGGUCUUGCUGUCAUCCUACAAUACAAAGUGGAGAUGGCAUGUGAUAAAAUGUACCUUGUCAUGCGGCAUGUUUUGACUGUCAAUUCGGAAUGAAAGAAAAUGAAAUUUGUGGCCUAAGUUUUCUUCCAAGAACUAUGACUCCAUAUCAACUAUUUUGCACUGACAAAAGUCACAGUGACAAGUGACAAAGAACUCAAAGCAACACACGUAGGGGUUACUGAGAACAAAGUAAAAAA